rnacentral:lncRNA from 1 species
AUGUGGUCCGGCAGCUCUCACGAAAUUUCGCAUUCCGAGCUAAACGCAGCAAAGACUUUGUCUUGCACACUUGAGACACAAAUCAUGCUAAAAACUAUCAAAGAGACAGGUAGAUGGUCACCAGUCCCACCAGUUGAUCCUGCCCUCAGUCGUCAAUUCCCAACAAAUCUUUGCUUUACAAAUUACGAAACACAAGAACCUAGUAACUAUGUUCCUCCGAAAAUUCAGACUCCCGUAGUACCUACGUUUUUACAAAAACCUACCCCUCCUCCACCAGUAAUCAGUUUUCCACCCGAUUUUGAUCCAACUCCAGUUGUGAAAGAAUUCAUUCGGUCUCGAAGCUCAACGCCCGUGCCUCGAUCUCAUGAAAUUGAUGCAAAAUUAGCCGAUAGAGAAAGUAAACAGUUUUCCGUUGUUGAGGGAGUGGCCGGUAAAAAAUCAAUGACCGAGGUAUCUAGCUCGGAGCAAAAGUCUUCAGAAAAACCUCUAGCUGUGGAGCCUGUUUGUGAAAGGAAAUACAUUGCUCAAGUGAGCACAUAUAACAGAGAUGUUUCUACAGAAAAAUCAGCCCAGUUGGAGAAAGAGGCUCACGCUGCAAAAUUUGACACUGCGUUCCUUUCAGCAUCCAAAGAAGAGCCUCCUGCAGUUUUCCCACUCGGAGACCAAUUAGUAAAUCCUGACGGUUCGAGUUCGGUAACUCUUCCUCCCGAUUCUGCCCCAUACUACCCGGAUUCUAUGCGUGAUAAACCUGAGCCAAAGAUUUUCCGCCCACAAACCCCACCGAGUGGAUCGCCUUUGUGUUUUGCCUUGACGACUGCUCCGGCGAGGUCAUAUUCUCCUCUGCCGUCAGUUACAAAGCCUCCGACUCCUCCACCCGCGGAUGCCUUACCAGAUUUCGAAACCGAGCUUCCAGUCAUUCCCGGAGUUCGUCCGGUUUCGAUGCUCGCUGCCCUGACGGUAGCAUCAGAGAGACCAUACUCUCCUGUUCUACCUAGCAAUCCUACAUUCCAUUCUGUCUCCGCGAAAACCAAAGAAGAACAAAAAGAGGAGAAGAAAGAAUCGUACAUAUCCACCCUAAAGAAAGACGUCUGGUCACCAAGAAGACUUUUGGAGGUCACAGUGACGUCAGAUGAUGACAGCUAUGACGUAGAAAAGUACGUCUCACAAAACCCAGAGUUGAAAGGCAAGCAAUGCGUUAAACUCCCACGACAUGCCAGUCCAUCUCGGCUCUCUUUCACAAACAGCGGACUUCAUAAGCCCUCUACCAUUCCUCCUUAUCAGCAAACUCUCGGAGAUGGCUCGUAUACGCCAACUAGGUCACGUUCACCACAACCUCCUGCUAUAACUCCGAAAGCAACUGAGGGGAAAUCCACCCAAGGUAAAGAUUCUAACUCGGUUAAAGAGGUUUGUCGCAACACCCCCACCCCCAAAGGUGAAAAUAAACCAUUAAAAUCUUGUGUUAAAACGUCGCACACUGAAACUGCCGCAAGCACAAAAGUCACAUCCACUCAGAGUACGAGCGUUAGCGAAUGUAAAAAGUCAGCCCAAGUUUGCUGCAAAAAGGUGACGAUUGCAGAUUCGCCCAUAACCGGACCAACCGGAGGAUCUUGUACAAGACCAUGCCAAAAAGAGGCUAGCUCUGAUAAAACAGUUGAGAGCACAUGCUCUAAUGUAUGCAAUAGAGCUGAAAAGGUUUGCUGUAAAAAGUGA